rnacentral:rRNA from 1 species
UCCAGACUCCUACGGGAGGCAGCAGUAGGGAAUAUUGCUCAAUGGGGGAAACCCUGAAGCAGCAACGCCGCGUGGAGGAUGAAGGUUUUAGGAUUGUAAACUCCUUUUGUUAGAGAAGAUUAUGACGGUAUCUAACGAAUAAGCACCGGCUAACUCCGUGCCAGCAGCCGCGGUAAUACGGAGGGUGCAAGCGUUAUCCGGAUUUAUUGGGUUUAAAGGGUGCGCAGGCGGAAGAUCAAGUCAGCGGUAAAAUGGAGAGGCUCAACCUCUGCGAGCCGUUGAAACUGGUUUUCUCGAGUGAGCGAGAAGUAUGCGGAAUGCGUGGUGUAGCGGUGAAAUGCAUAGAUAUCACGCAGAACUCCGAUUGCGAAGGCAGCAUACCGGCGCUCAACUGACGCUCAUGCACGAAAGUGUGGGUAUCGAACAGGAUUAGAUACCCCCGUACA